AAAUUCUGCCCUAUGAGUAAUUUAAAUGGCUGCAGUAUUUUAACUGUACAAAGGUAGCAUAAUAAUUAGUCUUUUAAUUGAGGACUGGAAUGAAAGAUUAAAUGAAAAAUUUAUUUUAUUAAUUUUAAUUUUUAAAUUUUAUUUUUAGGUAAAAAAGCUUAAUUAUUUUUUUGGGACGAAAAGACCCUAUAGAACUUUAUUUAAUUAAAUUAAUUUUUUUAAUUUAACAAUUUUAAAUUUAAAUUAAAUUUUGUUGGGGUGACAAAUAAAAUAAACUUUAUUUUUAAAAUUCAUUAAUUUAUGAUUUUAUUGAUUUAAAUAUUAAUUAAAAGAUUAAGUUACCUUAGGGAUAACAGCGUAAUUUUUAUGGGGAGUUCGUAUCUAUAUAAAAGUUUGCGACCUCGAUGUUGAAUUAAGGUAAAUUAAUAAAGAAGUAUUUAUUAUAUUAAGUC
rnacentral:rRNA from 1 species